AGGGAACAAGGUGCCCAACAUCAGGUUAGUAGGGCCCAAUCCUCAUUUACCUAUCCUCCUUUUUGGUUUUACGAUCGAUCACACUGUGGUUGUUGCAUCGGGAUGGGUCUUAUUUAUGACCUAGGUGUUUAUUAUGAAUCACUCCGUACCUAUAGUGUCGUGUCUCUAGUGAGGGUCUUGCCUUGAGCAGCGAAAGUAGUUCUUGUGCUUUAGUUCCUCCGUGAUGCUUCUUGUGUUGGUUAGCAGCUCAGAGAGCUUGGUGAUGUUUGGAAAUGGGAAGUGUAGAAGUUCAUAAGUGGAGGGAUAUUCUAGGUUGUUUUUUAUGGCAUUGUAUAGUACGAAACAUUGUUCUCCCACUUAUUGGUAUGAAGUUGAUAGGGGUAAGUUACUUUACCCCAAUUUCACCAUCCUUAGAGAUGGUGGAGGUGAUUCAUGAGAGGUUGAAAACUACUUAAAGUCACCAAAAUUCUUAUGUGCAUAUGUGUCAUAGGAGUUUAGAGUUUUGUGUUAGAAAAUGGGUAUUCUUGUAGGUGUCUAUCAUGAAGUGAGUGGUACGAGUCAGUAAUAAGGCGGAGCUUAGUCUUUGUUAUGUUAGUCCCUAUUUGGUCUUGAAGGGGGUAUUAAUAUUUCCUAUAAGUUGGAGUUACCUUCUAGGUUGAGCUCCAUUUUCCCAUGUUUUUCAUGUUUUUAUGUUGCAAAAAUGCAUAGAUGAACCUUCAUUAAUGGUUUUCCCUUAUAGGGCAUUGCUAUUAUUUUGUUUCUUGCUUUUUGAGGUGAUGCCAAUGAGGAUCUUGGGAUGGUAGGUUUUCCAAUUGCCAAUGAUAGGAGUGGCUUUGGUGAAGGUUCCAUGGGGGAACCAAUAGUCAGAGAAAGUUACUUGGGAGGUGGAAGUGGACAUGAAUUCCAAGUAUCCAUAAUUGUUUACCAUUUUGGAAACUCAUGCUUAAGAUGUGCGAUGCUGUUCCUAAUGUGGUAUAUGUCUUUGGUAGAAGAUGGGUGAAAAUCGGAUGCUUAGAAAUGAUUAAUGUUCUUGUUAGAUAAGGAUUUAAUUUCCCAAUGUUUGAGUUGCUUAAUAUCCUUGAGAGUCGAUGAGUUUAAGCCCUAAGCUUUGGAUUGGUAAACUAUUUUGAUGAAUGAUAGGAUUCAACUCCAAAGAUCUAUGAAAUGAAAUGGUUGAUUGACGAUGAUGAUGAUAUAUGUUGUGUUAUAACCUUGUUGUGUGCUUGGUUAAUAUUUGUUGAAGGUUCAUUCAGUGUUUACUAAUGUGUUAACUUGUGUUCAUGCUUCCUUGCCCAUCAUUCAUGGAUGAAUGAUCCUAAGUGGGGGAGAAUGAAACACCCAAGAAUGUGGCCAUACAAAAAACUUUUCGUUUUAAACAUGAUUACCAAGAUACGAUUGGACAAGCCAAUCGUACCCUUAGAUAUGGGUGGUAUCCAUUAUCCCCUCGCUCUCUCUUAUAAGUGUAUCCUAGUAGGGUAGCUCACUUUCCUCUAUACGACUAGACCUCCCCUUAGUCAUAACAAAUGUAUAUGAGUCAUACCUUACAUUAUCGUAUGAAGUAAAGUUUCAACUUGAGUGCAUUGUUUUCUAUAAAGAUGAAGCUUUUGAGUUAGGAGUUGAGUCAUACCCUUUGGUUACAGCUUAAGGGUGUCCACUCAUACCCUUAACAGUAUAUAUUACCUAGGAGAAGCUUAGGGUACGAGUAAGGGUACUACUUAUACCCUAGGGUACGAUUACUUAGGGAGUCAUAUAGGUGACCCGCACCCCUAGGUAGGGUAUUUUCAACCUUUUAAUUGAAGGCCUUUUUAUCAUUUACCCUUCCCUAAAACUUAAGCCCUCUAUGUCUAAUUGAAUAAGUUAGCAUGUGAUUAGAUUCUUAUGCCUAAUUGAUUGUGUUCGUAUGGAUAGUUCCUCGCUACAAUCGAUAAAUAUGUGGUUUGGGGUCCCUUGUUUAAUAAAUGUACCCAUGAUUGAAGCACUUUGUCUAAUGACAUGUUAAUUUGAUUAAAGUUUUAUGCCUAAUAUGAACUAGUUGAACCUUAGUGUGGAAUGCUAGAGUCCUCCAUUUUAUUCCACAUGAUUGGAGUAGUUGAGAAUGUGGUUAAGUAUGGAUAUCUCGUUGGCAUAUGAUAUAUAUAUAUAUAUGUAUAUAUAUAUGUAUAUAUAUAUAUGUAAGGAUAAUUGUGUAAAUAUGAUUGAAUGCGACACAAUGACUAGUAUAAAAAUGACUGUGUAUAAUGAUUUGACUUGGAUUGAAUAAACCUGCUAUUUUAUCCUUAUCCUUUGGUUACAUUCUAGCACUCCAACCGCUAACCGUCUCCAGAUGUUAUGUCCCCACACUAUUUAGGGGAUGUAGCAUCUACUUCUUCCACACAAUGAACAGGUGUUCGUCCAGUCCGGUCAUUGGUCUUGAAGUAGUGAGCUUCCAUACUCCGAAAGGCCUACCUUUCAUAGUCACGUUAUUCUAUGUCAUAGAAUUUUAUAGAAUUAGUACUUGGCUAUUUUUGGGGGCAUGUCCUGACAUAUAUUGACUUCGAUUUGGUAGAGGUUUUAUGGAUGAUUGUGAGCUUGGGUAUUUUGGCUAAAUGGUCAACAUUAAUUAAAUAUUAGUUAUUGUCUAAGUACUGACUAUUAGCAUUAUAUUUCCAAUAUCUUAUUAUGAGGUAGGAAUUAAUCCGACCCUCAUGAUUGUUUUAGUGAUGGUUAGGUUGGAUUAUUGAGGCGACCUCUAGUUUAGGUGAGCUUGAGGUGCCCAUACGACAUAGAUCGAUUUUGGGGCGUGUCAACAGUUGACAAAGCACCAAUCGUACCCUGCUAAACUUGAGUAGUGACCAUAUAAGCAAUAACAUGAAUAGACUGAUCGAAUUCUGCAUUAGUCACCUCGCCUUGAGGAGGACAAGUAGAAAUUGGUGGAGCUCCAGAACUAUAAGACACAGGACCGUGAGAUCAAAGAUGAACCCCAAAUGUAGGAUGCACCCCUUCAGCAUCUCCCCAGAUGGGAUAGAGAAUUUCCUCAUGUUCCAGAUCUACAAGACAUGAUCUGAAAGAUGAACAAACAAGGAUUAGAGAAGAUCUAAGGACUGAGACUCAAAUCUUGAAAAUAGAGUACCAAGAAAGUGAAACAUUCCUAAAUUCCUUGAAGCCUCUCCCUUAUGAAUGUGACAUGCUACACACCACUAAAAGAGACUUUACUCGACACGGCUUUGUGGCUCCCAAUUGACCAUGAACCUAGUAUCUAAUACCAACUUGACAUGACCCGGACGGGGCCGACCGGGACCGGAGACCACCCCCGUUACCCAACCCAACCUCCAACCGCUUGCCCUAUGUUUGCUGAAUUUCAAGCGUGUAAAAAGAUAGUGCAGCAAAUCACAUGAAGACUCUGUGAUAAGAUCAAAACUGAGAUUAGCCCAACUGAGUUCAACCAUCCCACACCAACCUCGCAACCAUACCAAACCAUUCCAAAGUCGAUAAACUAGGCCAUAACCCAAUAAGUUCCAAAACAUAAUAUAAGUAAUCCCAAAAUAAAAUACAAUGGAAAAACAAACAAUAUUAUCAACCAGUAUCAACCCCAAUGCUAAUGCCAAUGUUAAGGCAGGUAUCAAUACGGAUCCCGCCCCCAUAUUAGUACCAUAAAGCCUCUAACCAAAAAAGUAAUAAAAUCUAGUUAGUUCAUGCCCCCAACCAUGGCCAAAACCAAUAUCUAAAAUAAAAUAAAAGUGUAUAGAUAUAUCCAUAACAUGAAAUGGAGCCUUCUGAAAGGAUGGAAGCCCACCACUUCAAUCCAAAUACUGAUCCCCGAGUUAAUCACUAUGUAGGAAGAGUAGAACAAUCGGUUCCUGCAUAACAUGGGUGUAUAGCCGCCAGUAGAUGGGUUAGAGGGUGAACGCUAGUAUGAUAUCAAGAUAAGGAUAAAAUAAUUCCAUUUAUAAAGUCAUGUAAAAUCCAUACAUUGCACACAACCAUACAUACAUAUAUAAAUAUAUACAUAUAUAUAAAUAUAUAACUAUGCUAGAAAAUGGAACCAUAUUUAACAUGCAUUUAAAACCUUUACCUGGGCUGUGUAGCUUUGCUAUGCUAAAUAACCCAUGGGUUAUAUGGGUUCAGCACCCCCUGCUGAAAGGGUCACAGCAUGUGAAGCCACGCGACCAAGGAAGAAAACCUUGGAUGACUAGUACAUCCCCCAAAAUAUAGUGUGACAUCAUGUACACGAUCAGUAAAACCAACCUCACAUCGGAAAAUAUGAGUUUCCAAUUUUUUUCUCCUUGGGACCUCCACCUUCCAUGGCUUGGCUACACAUCCUGCCAUUAUUACCCAAUUAAAACCAAUACCAAGCAACUAAUCAACCCAUUUACCAUUUAUUGACCAAGGACAUUUAGUGGUGGUAUCAUCAAACUGACCAUACUUCCAAGCACUAUCCAUAGCCAACUAUAUGUAGGUUUAAGGGAACUUCCAAAUGCCCUUCCAUUUACUAUAUUAAACCACUUAGGGGAUUCCAUGUACCUAAUAAGCAUAACUAUUUAUCCAUGUACCUCUGCAAGAUACUUAAACCAUGUAUAGUUCCUUUACUAAGUUGUAAAACAAGCAAGAAUUCCAUUAAAAGUACUCAAUGCAAUGAAAACAUUAUUAUAGACAUUUUGUUAAACACAUUGGGGGCAGAAUAUAACCAUAAACAAUUCCAAUUACCAUUAAACCAUUCCCAUUCCAUCCAAUUAUCCAAAACCACCAUUAAUGCACAUAAAUCAUAAUUAAACCAUGGAAAACCACAACCAACCAUUUAAUGUCAAAACCACCCAUUCAUAUUUGAAACCAAAAAUUAUAAAAUCAAUGAAGUCAUGAAAACAUUCUUAAAAACCAUACUUCUAGUUAGAAUUAAUAAUUAGGAAAGAGAACAUGCCUUAAACAAAGAUGAUGAUGGAAAGAAAUCAUCAAGACAAGGCCCAAAUUAAUUCUCUAGCUGAAACCCUAGAUUCCCUUGCCCAAAAAAUCUUUUGAGAGAAUUAUAGAGUGUUUUAGAAGAGUUUUCUAAGUGAUAGUGAAUAGAAUAAUAAGGUAAAUAAUCUCGCAAGUAGGUUAGAAGUUGAGAUACCUUAUUAGGAUAAGUGGGGAAAUAUCCAGAAUACCCCCACUUAAGUUGCACUAAAAUCCCAUCACAGGGGUAUGAUUGACCUUCACGAGUUGUACCCUCCAAUAUGAUUGGUACCAUCCACUCCUAUCCUAGCCUCAAAUUUUGGAUCCAACACUGUUCGAUGUAUGACUCAUCCACCCAAGUUUUAUCUAAAGUAUACAAUUCGUACCUUUUAUCCAUACCUUUGAAAAAUUAAACCCAAGGAAGAGUUAGACAUUGUCUACCAUAUGAGUCCAUAGUAUGACUCCUACCCUGGCUUAUGGCUCUGAAUGAUCCACUCGUACUCAGAUCCAACCUAUGAAACUAAAUCUAAGAUUAAGUUAAGGAAAUAAAUGAUCCAUACCCACCUAUACGACUCGACCUAAGUCAUAUCUAUUCUAGUAACCAAAAUCCAUCCCACCAACCAACACUAGUCAGCAUAUUAUAAGACCAUACCAUUCAUACCCCAUUAUACAGCUCAUCAUAUUAGAUCUAGAGACCAUAAUUCCAUGAAAUUUUCUAAGGGUCAAAACCCAGGGUGUUAUGCCAAGUCACCAACAAGUCUUAAUUUAUAGAUAUCUCACUUUUUAGGUUUUUUGCUCUAAAGUAAUGGGUGAAAAAUGGCUAAAAUCCUGAGAUUGAAGUUUAUUUUAUAACCAUAUAGGUUCUUGGGUGCCGCUAUCACUGUCCGAGAACUGUGAUCGCAACUCAUUGCUUCUGAAAGAGAUGUUGUGAUCACAACACUUCCUAGUGCAACCACACUACCAUCUCCUACAAAGGUACCACAAUUGCGGCCCUUAGCUUGCGAUUGCAGCUGCACCAGAUAGUAACUUAAACUUUGAAAUUCUUUAAAGUUUUCAUCAGGUCUUUGGGAUUCAUUUGAAAUCUCAUAUACAUAAACAAACCAUGUAACCAUACCAAAUUUGAUAUUUGGAUUUGAUAGUACACUUAAAAUUUCCAUCUGAGGUCAUUUCAAUCCAAUAUGGGUCCCACACCUAUAUUUAUGAUUUAUCAACUUUCCAACCAGUAUGUCAAAAUAAUAUCGGGUGCCUCGAGACCCAAACCACAGGUCUACCAAGCCUAAAUUGACCUUUCAAAGUUGUUGGCACAGUCAAAAUUUGCAAAUAAGGUCAUUUUACUGAUAUUUGUGUUCUGUGGUCAUUUGGAACCUACGAAGACUUCAAAAUAGGGGAUUGACUCUAAAAAUCAAAUGAACUGCCCAGUAACCAAACUGUUAUCUCUAGCAUAUCAUAAAUGACUUAGGUAAGAUAUUGAAAAGUACUAAUAAAAAAAUAAGUAGAAAUAUUAAAAAUAACCUGAAGGGUUUUUACACACUUUCAUAUAGGUAAAGGCAUCCCGAUGAAAUGUAGGGGUUCACCACACUAUGAGGACCAGGUCCCUUAAAGUCAGUCAUAAGAAAUAACACUGAAAGGCUAUAAGAAAGAUAAAAAUUUGUAGAAAUUUUAAAACACAAAGAUUUAACGUGGAAACUUCCUUGCUCAAAUGAGGAAAAGCCAUUGUUUGCCCUCACAAGUACUUCAACAAUCCACGUUAAUCACCCUCUUCAUUAUAUAUUUGAUUUGAACCUAAAUCUAUGCUCCACAUGCUUGUAAUAACUCUACUACAGCCUACCUUGGCAACUCUUCCAAGAACACACCCAACUCUAGGUUGCACCUGCUUGUAAUAACUCUAUUAGAAGCCUACCUUGACAUAUCUACCAAGAACACAACUCCAUACUAAUUACCUCUAACCAAUAUUGAACUUAGGAAACUCUAUCUAAGUAUACUUUAAUAAAAUAGAGAAAACUCCACUCUUAAAACUUGAGUAAUUCAGUUUCAGACCAAAACUAGACUUAAGAACUCAUGCCCUAUUUUAGUAUAUAAAGAAUUGAGCUUGUGUAGUGUUGCAAAAUUGAGUUUUCACUUCUUUCAUUCUUUGAAUAAUCAGGAUUGUGAAAAUUGCCUUGUUGAGAAACAUUCUUUUUCUUUUAUAGUAGAGUAAUGAUUAGGGUAGAAAUCUGAUGGGGAAAAGUGUUCUAACUGGUACAUAUCCGACCUGCACAGUGGAUUACAUUAGAGAACAAAAUUGUACAGACCUUGUGACAAUAGUAUUUUUUAAUGAAGACUCGGGGACCUAGUCUCUUGUAGUCAAUUUCUCAUAAUAAAAAAGAUAUAGCAAUUUUCCCUCUUUUGAUUAUGACAAACCACAAAACUUGAGAAUCAAAUACUUUCACCUUUUUUAGUCAGAGUAAUUACCUCUACUAUUACUAAAUGUUCCCUCUAUCACUUUACACUUUACUUCCCCUUGUCAAUAUAUUUGUUUUCAUCAAUGUGCAUUUGAGCAUUCUUCCCCCUGUCAAUAUGCUAGAUUUACUUCAUUGUUUUGGCAAUUAGCAUAUACAUUCAACACAUAUCACCUAUGCACUCUUGGUACCUGGUGCCUAAUACAAUAUGUGGUACUUGGUCCCUAAAACAUCAUGUCAUGUCAUGUCAUGCAACACACAUGGUCCCUAUCAUAUGAGUUCAAUAUUCCCCCUUUUGGCAUGAUUGAAAAAAGAAAUAACAGUAAACCAAAGAUAGAGUAAGCAUAUACUAGCUAACUCAAGGCCGCUGGGGCAAUGCCAGCAUAAAGGAACAACUUUAAAAAUAAAAAAGAGAUAGAUAAAACACACAAGCAAAGGAUUCAUUCAUUGUUAAGAGAGAUUAGUACCAUUGCAUUAUACUAUAAUAAGCGUAAAAGUUCUGAUUCAUCAAAAUCCACACUAAUAAUAAGGAUUAGAAACUGACACACAGAGAUGACAAAGUGACACAGGAAUGAUAGGACUUAGGAAAAAGGGGGAUUAUGAGAGAAGGACUUCAGCAACAACUCCAUUCUUGAACUCUCUAUAGCAUGGACAUUUAGCAAUUAUUUAGUGAGUUCUUUAAAUUCUGCAUUCAUACUAGGAACCUCUUGAAUGAGUUCUACAACCUUGAUCUUGAGGUUUGCAAUUUUAGCUGUAAGUUCUUCUGAGGCACCGGGUCUCUAUAGGGAUAUAUUUUGAUUCGACAUCUUUAAAUGCACUAUAUCAACAUCCUUUGUAACCAACUAGACCCUCAUCUCCUUUACCUUCUUAUUUAAAUUCUCUUGAGCAGCCAUAAGUUUUGAAACUUGGGACACAGUUCCUAUCUUUUCUUCAAUGCAUUCAUUUUCCACCAACAUUGUCAAACUAAAUUAAUUUACUAUUCCAGGCAUUCCUUUAGUCCCAAUGACUCAAAAGUAGUCAAACACUUUGUUCAAGAAAUACACAUAUGGCAUCCUGUGUCUUUUUUCUUUCUCAAAAAUCACUUCGUUCAUGUGAUCUACAAUAAGAGUAGCGAGACUUAUCAGAUCAAAUUUGCUCAAACAUUCAAUCAGGAACAAACCAAUAACAGAGGGAAUGGUCUUUCUUUUUUAUCUGGGCAAAAUUUCCUUAUUUAUAAAUUCAAAUUGUAAUUGAAACUCACAUGUGAUAAAUUCCUUCAUCACACUUGCUAUUGAUGUUCUUCCUACUUUAGAAGUAUCUAUCGUGAACUCAGUUGAGGGUUGUUCCUUUACAACAGUCCUCACCCCUAUUACAAGCACAUCUAGGAUUUUCCCUAGUAACUUUUCAUCAAGUUUGACUUGUUUUCCUUUCACUAUGGUAGCCAAGAUUAAAACAACAUCUAAGAAUUACAUAGCAUAAUAGAAUUUUCUUUCCUUACCCUCAAGGACUAUGGCAGUUAGUUCCUUCAAGAGGUAUAGCCAUCCCUGGUGUUCCACAUAUUCUAUUAAUUCAGCCAUGCCUUGAUUCUCAUAAAUCCUAGGAUCAAACACUCUCCCAAAUAAUACAUUCUAUGUUUUUAAAAUAUUAUUUCUUUUCUCACUUGACCUGACCUUUAUUUCUUCCUCUUUUCUUCUUCUCUUGAAAUCACUGCAUGGCUUCUCUUUUUCAACAACUAUUCUCUUUUUGGGACCAGGUCCCUUAGAGAAUUUUUUUCUUUUUCACAGAAAUAUGCUUCUACUUAAUUCUUACAAGGCUAUCUGACUUUGAAGGGAAGGACCUAGUCCUUCUUGAGACAUAAAUUUUUUGUUUUUUUCUAUAUUGUCAAAGUAAUAUCACGAUCAAUGUUUCCACCCUCUCUUAACUCUACAACUUUAAUAUUCUCCUCAUCCACUACAACAAAUUUCUUGAUUCUUCUUCUCUUAAUAUUAGAUGACUUGGUAGCCUUCAUAGUAUUGACUAACAACUUCUUUUCAAAUCCUCUGGUAGAAUAAGAUCUAGCAAUUUUUACACCAGAAUCGAUUGCUUUCUCCUUGCCUUUACUACCUCUUUGUUUUUUCAUAGGCUACCUCAAAGGUAUUUCAUCCUCAUCCUCCUCAUUUAGAGGUAGCACAAUCUCUCUAUCCUUAGCUAGAUUAUUCUUCUUACCAACUGUUUGCUCUUUAGUACUAAUUGAGCUUUCCUUGGGAUCAUAUGUAAGAAAAAGCAAGUUCUUAGCUACCCAAUCUACAUUUCUAGAUAGAUCAAACCUCUUUACAAGAGUUUUUUUAUCACAUAAUAGAGAAAAAAUAGGGUUUGAUUUAGAGGAAGUAGGGGAACCAGGUACUUGAGGGAUUUUUGGGAAUUCAGUAUUUUCUGGUUCCUUCGAAAAAAUAGGGAUUUGAGGGUUUAUAAGUAAUUUAGAUUAUUUUGGGAAGGGAGAAAUUUCAUAUUGAUAAGUUUUUUAUUAAAUAAAUAAACCAAACCCUUGAUUUAAAUCCUCUAUCAAGGUUAAUUCAAUACAAGUUUCGAUGGUUGAGGAUGUUAUAACACGGAUAGGCUAGGUUAAUGGUUGAGGAUUUUCUAGAGAGGACUCAAUAAGAAGAGUUGACAUAGAUUAUUAUUGAGGACUUAAGGAGAAGUCUCUACAGUUUUGGAUAUUAAGGGAUCAAAAGAAUCACUUUGUGAUUGUUCUGAUUACCUUUUUUGAGCUUUAUAGACUUUAGGAUCUUUUUACAGAGGUUGAGAAAGAGGAAAUGUUCGCCAUUAUAAUAUAUUAUGAGUUAAAGAGCAAAGGAACAGUUUGAUUCAAAGAUGAAGGACAAUUGGAAAAGAUGAAUUGAUUUAACUUUUGGAAGAGAAUAGAAUAAGAUAUCUUUAGUUUGGAGAUUUGAGGGAAGUGGUCAUUGUCAUCAAAGGUGCCCUUUUUGAGAUGACGCAUCUUACUUUAGUUGGGUGACUCUUCCAUUGCUUAUGAAUUGAUGGUCUUUGCUCAAAUAAGACAUGGCGCAUUGCUUUUUAGAUAAAAUUUCAUGAAUAUUAAAGAACACUACUUUGGUACUAACCUUUAGAGAUGGGACAAGGUCCCUUUCUUUCUUUAAAGAAUCCUAAAUCUUGUACAAGCCAUGUUUGUCCUCUUCUAAAGUUAUUGCCAUGGGUGUAUACCUUCAAAGGUAUAGUACUGAGUUAUACCAAAAUAUUCUUACUUUACUAAGGAAACCUAUCUCCUGGUCAUAGCUAAAUUUAGGAAGAGAACUGGAUCAUUUAGUAGGUCAGAUCAAUUUGAUCAAUUCCAGCUUUAACUUGUUUGUUUCGAUACACCACUUUAUUCCAGAGAUAGUUUCAAAAAUAGAUUUGAAGACUAAAUCCCAUAAUUGGCAUCCUUUAAAUUUCCAACAUUCCUUCUGCAUUGCCUUUAAUUAGCUAGCAUCUUUCAGAAUCUUCUUUCACCUUUUUAGCUUACUUUGGGGACAGAAAGGCUAAGUAGACCAUUGGAUUUCUGAAUUAAGCUCUUGUUUAGAACCCAGAAUCUAAAAGAUGAAGUCAUAAUGUCAAGAGAGAAUCUUUCUAUCCAGUUAGACAUUUUGAGAUAAGUUUUAUAGGGACCAAGUCCCUAAAAAGCUAGACUGGAACCUUCAUGAUAUUUCUUCAACUGGAGAAGGGGUUUGUAACUGAUAUCUUGGAUCAUCAUUCAUCAUUUCCUUCUUUAAAAAAUUGUCCUUGACCAUCAUCAUUAUCAACAUCUUCCCUUUAAAUAGGAAUGAGUUCUUCAAUGUCAGAAUCUUCAUUAUCGCCCUGAUUCAUUAGCUAUCCUAACUCAUCAAGGACCAUAUGUACAUUUUCAUCAACACAUAGAGUUUAUUUGAUGAAAACUCUAUAUGCUUAUCUUAUUUAGAUGUUUCCCAUACAUACAACUUUCUCCUUCACUUAAGACUUGUUCCCAGGAAAUUUCAAUUUUGGCAUUCCAAGGACCAGAUCACUUGAAAUUAACUAGUUCAACAUAAAGAAACUUGUAUGUCCCAUAAGUCAGCAUCUUAAUGUUAAACACCAUAGUAAGUUACUACCCAUUACCCAUAUAAAAUUCUUAUCCUUUUUACCAUUUCCACAUGAGACACCUCCACCUUAAAGUGUCUUGAGAGAGAGAAUAAAUUCAGACUUUGUAGUCAUAUGAUUUGAAUAACAACUAUCAAUGAACUUAUUCUGACUACAAAACCCUUUCUCCCUCCUACAAACAAAAUCAUUUGUUAGAUUAGGGAACCUACUUGAGUUUGAGUUCCUUGUAGGAUGAAAAGGGUGUAAUCAAAUCCUAAUUGGCCUAUAUUCAUAAUAAGAGUUUCUUCAUAGUUUUCAAAAGUCUGGAACCCUUAGGAUAGGUUUAUCCUUGCUGGAUAUAUCUAACACUACUCAUUCUAUCUUUAUUCAAACUUUUAUAGUUUUUCUUCAUGUGACCAUCUCCCCUACAAUGAGUGCAUAGAGGUUUUUGAACUUUGUUUUUGAAAUAUUGAAUAGCUUUGAUUGAAGACAUAGGUGAUUGUGUUUUUUACUGAUACCCAAUACCCUUACCAUUUUUGACACCUUGACUAGUAAAAUUAGAAAGGAUCUAUGAGGAUUUGGUCCGCUGAAGAGAUUUACUAAAUUCUUCUCUUAGAUGGACCAUGUCCCUUGCUAACUUAUCAUUAUUUUGGAGUGCAUUCAUGAGAUUCUUUUGGGAAUCCUUCAAUUUUUCUUCAAGAUCAAUUAGAAACUUUGAGGUUCCUUUCUUUCUUUUACCAUUUGAAUCAUCUACUUCCUCUAGUUGACUUAUCAAACUCGGAUUUUUAGAUUUCAACUUUAAAAAUUAUUCCUCAGUUUCAAAUAUUUUGGGAUUUAAAAUAUUUAAUUUAAACUCUUGAUCUUCUAGAACAUUUUUCUCAACAACCAGUUCACACAUAGAAUCAAUCAACACAUUAGAAAGCCUUUUUUAUCUUUCUAGUAGAGUGGUUUUCCAAGUUUUCUCUAAUGUUAGAGAGAGUUACCUCACUUUUUUCUUCAUCUUUAAUGUUUUCUAUGAGAUAAAACAAGGAAUUAAAGGUUACUUUCUCAUCAUCCACUUCCAACGUGGAAACAUCUUUAUGCUUCCCAUCUUCUUCAAAUUCACUGGAAGAAUCCCCCAGAGAGCUAAGCUCUUCUUAACUACAAAAUUAGAUGCAACCUUUCUUCUUGAUUUUAUAGAGACCUAUUUCCUUCUCUUACCUCUGUCAACUCCAGUCUUGUGGUAUCACUGUUAAUCUAUUUUAUGCAAAGCACAAUCCUUGAUGAAAUGUAAGGAUUUCCACAUUUGUGACAAACUUUAAGAGAGCCUCCCUUCUUGAUUCUGCUUCUUCUUCAUUAAAACUGAUUACUUAUCUUUAUUGACCUAAAAAUUCUUCUUUCCAUAUAGGGAGUAUCAGUUUCUGCUUCACAUAAAUCUGACCUACAAGCCUUCAAUUCUAGAGAUUUUACUCUUUUUACUUCCUUCUUCUCUUGCCCUUGAUGCUUCUUGAGUUCAUGUGUCUUCAGAUUAACAAUAAGCUCAUCCAUAGUGAUAUUUUUAGGUUUCUUGCCUCAAUGAUAGCAUCCACUUUGCUUUCCCAGGAUUUAGGCAUAACUCCCAAAUAUUUUUCACCUAUUUGUAAAAGGAAAUCACUUUUUCUAAAUAGUGCAACUCAUUGGUGAUUGAAGUGAAUAUUGUAUGAAUAUCUUAUAUAGUAUCUCCUUCUUUCAUGGCGAAGGUUUCAUACUAAGUAGUUAGCAUAUCAACUUUUUUAUCCUUCACAUAAGUGGUUUCUUCAUGAGCAGUAAGCAAUCAAAAAUUUCUUUAGCAUUUUCAAAAGCAGAAAUCCUAUUGUAUUCAUCAAGCCCUAUACCACAAACUACCAGUUUCUUGGCCUUAGAAUUCUUCUCAACUUUCCUUCUAUCUUCAUCAUCAUAUUCUUUCUAGAUUUUUAUAACUAUACUUGUUAUGUCUCCUUCGUUGACCACUUUAACAGGAAAACUAGGACCAUUAAAUAUUAUAUCUAUCAACUCACUAUAGUCAUCCAUAAUAAAGUCAAACAUCCUGGUUUUCCACCACCUAUAGUACUUCCCAUUAAAUUUUUGUGGUCUAGUGGUAGAUUUACCUUCUUCCAAAUUAGGUGGAGCAGCCAUGAUAACCAAAUCACUCUAGGUGUGAACCUUUUAGAGUGUUCUGGCUCUGAUACCAAUUGAUAAAACAUAGUGGUUGCACCAUACUAUUAGUGACCAGGUCCCUUAAAGUCAGUCAUAUGCAAUAACACUGAAAAACUGUAAGAAAGCUAACACUUCACAGGAAUUUAAAAACACAAAGAUUUAACAUUGAAACCUCCAUGCUCAAGGAAGGAAAAAUCACGUCUUUCCCUCACAAGAACUUCAACAAUCCACUAUAAUCAACCUCUUGAUUACAAAUUUGAUUUGAACCUUACUUAUAAUGCCCCAGGUUUUGGUCAAUAAAAUUUUCUGAGGUCUAAGCUUUCUGCCCUAUUAACAACUCACCUAAUGAGUCAUAAUAUGUCUUGAUGGUUCAGGUGACCAUAGCCGUAAUGUGUCCAGUAAAUAGUGCUUGAGUUACUUUCCUGAAUACAAUUUGGGUGUACGAGUCGUAGGAAAUCUUGACAGGUCCUAUGGACCCAAUCAUAACCAAAUUAUAAAUUAAGCGACUAAGUUAUUCUAUGAGUAUGAGUUGCUAACUAUAAGCCAAAAGGACUUACUAUGAAACAUUGGGUGCAAAUUGUAGGAUGUCCAGUGUUUACCCAAUUAGGUUUUGUGUUGACUACGACUGGACCCUAUGAGUCAUAGGGUCUCAUUACUAGUAGUACUAGUUGAGUCGUAGGGUAAAUAGUGUGUGAGGUUCCUAGAGAAAAUCUUGGUUAUGAAUCAUGGUGAGGAGUCAUAAGGAGGGGCUACGAGUCAAUGGUUGACCCGUAGUUAAUGGCGGUAAUUUUUUAGCUUUUAAGUUAUGGGCAUUCUAGACAUUUUUCCUCCUACCAAAAUUGCAACCAACAUCUUAUAACCCCUUUAGGGUGUCAUUAGAACUCAAAAAAAAAAAUCUAAGUAGCUUCUCAAACACUCUAAAAGGCUCUCUAAAUUCCCUCAAGCAAGUCAAGAUAUCAUUUCAUCAAUUUGGUCAUCUAAGGGCUCAAGGGUUGAUUUAUCUCCAAAUAUAUUGAUAUGUAAGAAAUGUCACUCUUCCGUCAUUGUUAAUUUGUUAAAAGAACAUAUUUUAAAGUAUUGUUCAUGAGAUAUUCAUGUGGUUUUAUAAAAAGGGUUGAUGGUUUUGAAUGCUUGUUGUUGAACAAUGUUUUCCCAUGGUUUAGAUAUGAUUUUUCUUGCUUUAAUUAUGGUUUUGAACUUGUGGGUGCAUGGGUAUGGUGAAUUAACCAAGGAAUUUUGAUUUUCUCCAAACUUGUGACUUUUGAAGUAGCUAUGACCCUAACCCCAUAAUGUGAAAUUGUUUUUAAUUAUGAGAAAUGUUGAAAUCCAUAAAGUUGAACCAAGGGUUUGUGAAUUUCCAAAAGUGUUGUAAUUGUUUUGGCAUGUUGUUGUUACCUUACAAGUGUAGUUGGUAUGACGAUACCAACAACGUAUACCUAAAUGUGUAUUGAGGUUCAAUGAAUAAGAUUGUGUAAUAAAUGUUUUAAUUGGGCUUUAAUGGGGGUUGUGUAGCUGAGUCGUAAAAGUGGAGGUCUGAGAGACCGAUAUUAGAAAUCGCAUUUGCCAGCAUGGGGAUCAAAGUUACCAGGGAGGUUUGAGUCCUAAUCAUUAUUAUUACAUUAUUAGAGAGGUUCGAGUCCCUCAUAAAUCAUCACAUGAUCGGAUGCUUAAUUCACCUUAUUAUAUGAUUAGGAGGUUCGACCACCCGUGCAUAUAUAUGAGAUUUUUCUCCGGUUUAUAUGGCUACAGGUACUGCAACCCAACUACUAGGUGAGAGCUGGAGUCCAUAUAGCCCAUGGGUACAUAUUAUGAUGGUUGAGCUACAUAAUCUAGGCUAAAGUUUUAAAGGGCAUGUUAAGCCUUGUUCCCUAUCCCGUUAUGUAAUAAAUAUAUGUAUAUACAUUUGAUUAUGCGCAUUAGUUUUCAGUGACUUUGAAUAGUUGACUAUGUCAUUAUGUUAACCUUAUCCUUUAGUUUUAUGCUAGCGCUUCAAUUGCUAACUAUCUUCGGACAUUGUAUCCCCAUGAGAUGCGGAAUUGGUCAUACUUCUUUUCCUUCUGCUUAUAUAUUAGGAUUUGGGAUCAGCUUAUGAGUUGACAUCGAAGUGGUGAGUGGUGAUGUCCAAGAUACACCUCCACUUUGAAGAUGAUAUGGCCACUGAUAAAUAUAGUAACCCAACAAAGGUUAGGUUCGAAUCCCAAAGAAAUAUAUGGAAUCAUUGCUCUCAGCUGUUGUAAUCAACGAUAGGAACUUAAAAAAUAAAUGAGGGUUUUAAGGAGCAAUAUCAAACAGUUGACAAAUAUCAACUUCGGUUGUAAUCAGUUGCAAGUGAACACUUGGACUAUGUUCCUUCUGGUUUCUCAACUCCGUAGACUUAUCAUGCUUUGUUGAACCAACUCGAUGCCUUGCAUGUAGGAUAGAUAAGUGAUGUACCUUCUACAGUUGUUUGGAUGAGUAGAAGGAUUUCACCCUUUACCUUUUAAGUCUUAGGAAGUCACCUUACUAACCUUUAUCUUGAUCCCAAUUAACUAUUACCUUUUGAAUCAGUAGUUAUUAGAUUAAAUUCGACCAUCUUACUUAUCUAUAACCUAGUAGUGUGGAUCGAUAAUUAAACUCCAAAUAACUAUUUUCAUUAUCUUUUCCUAGUUACUACCACUCUUUUGGAGUAAGUAGCAAUAAUCUAGGCAAGAUCCUAAUGUGUAUACCCAUUAAGAAAACAAUUAGCGUGAAGAUAACACAAUGCAUCCAUAGGUAUUGGUUCAAAACGACAAUAGUAGAUAACACAAUGUAUGCAUGGGUAUCGGUUCAAAAUGACAAUAGUACUUCCCUCACUUCAUCAAUCUGCUAGGGUUCCCACAACCCUAGCUAAGGGUUUUUUAUCCAUUCAUGCUUGUGAAGUAAUCAACAACAUUCAUAAUUGAAAGUAUAAGAUGAAAUCACAAUAAUCACAAGUAUAAUUGCUCCAAUAAGUAGACAAAAACACCUUUUUCCUCUUUUCCAUGAACACAGCAUCCAAAAUAAAAGUUUUUGGAAAACAUACCCAAAAAUGGAUCAUAUCUAACAAAACAACCUUAGAAAAUUGCAUAUUUUCCUCGUUUUAAGCAUCAAAGUGAUAUAUUUCUAUAGCACAUCAAUAGCACAUCAACACCAUUAACUUAGAACAUUUGCUUGUCCUUAAGAAAAAAAACAUAACAAAAUAAAAAAAAACUAAACACGAUGCUUAACUAUGAGAAUUUAAGUUAUUCAAGGUAGUCAGUCAACACUUUAAGCUUAUAACACAAUACCCCCUCCUAUCUUAUAUAAAUAUGAAGAACAACAAUGUGAUAUAAUGGGAUCAAGGUAUGGCAUUACAUUUGCACAGACAACCACGCAUAUGUACAAGUUACACUACCAAAACACGUAAGCAGCUAGCAAUAUAACUCAUGUGCCCUCAUAACAAAGACAUCCCACUGACUCAUAUGAAACAAUGCAUGUUAAUGCAGGGACAGUCAAUAGACACUCAUAUUCGAAAGAGAAGUUUUAAUCAAUGUACAUCAAAUACCAUAGGCUUGCACUUAUUUUCUUUACCUUAGCAUUCAGAUAGUCAAGUUUGGAUCACUAUAGCAUUUUUAUCAGCUUGUAAUAUAGGCUUGGGGGAUGUUAUGGUACAUAUGGACCUAUGAAGUGACUAAGCCUCCAUAGAACUAAACUAACCUUGUGGUCUCACUUACUGGCUAGUUUUUUUUAUACCACCCUUGUUUAUCAGUUUUUACUCUUUAUUGCACAUUCAAGUUGGGUGUGGUCUUUUAUUUAUUCUUUCUUUCUUACUUUUAAUCACAACUUUUAUUUCCUUUUUAUUUUGCUACCACACCUAACACUACUAACUUUUUCUCUUGUUUUACCAUUCUACAUACCCACUUUACACUAUACACCCCUAUGAUAGCCACCCUUAGGCAUUUUUCCUAAGUUGAGGUGUGCAAUGUCCAAGGAGAACCAGAGUUAAAACAGGUUCAUUGUAACACAACUGGGAAGGUGAAAUAUGAAAUAAGAAAAAUAGGAUAUAAUGCUCAAAAUGGGGAUCAAGGGAUACUAUUUCACAUAGGGAAGGUCAUUUAGGCUAAAAGUGGUCUAAAAUAAAAAAUGACCUAUAUUUUUUCCUAACCAACUAUUCUUCAACCCAGGAAAGACUAAUAGGCAAUUUUUGAAUUCAACACACAAAGGGAACUAAGUGGCAUCUCACACACACAUGGCUCAGAGUCAACAUUAUAAACUACUACUUAUUUGGUUCAUGCAACUGUUGGCAAGUGAUUAUUAUGUUUCUAAUCUUAAUGCCAUAACAAGAUCCACAAUGUUCACACAUAUAUACAUUCACACAAUUAUAAAAUUCAAAUUUUAUGUGGGGUAUCAAAAGUAAUCAAAACAUGAAAACUACCUUAAAUAGUUUGAAAUUUCCUAAUUACACAAAAAUACAACACAAUAUGAAACAAAACACAAUAUGACAUGAAUUAACCUAGACAUGCAGAUUCUACAACCAUACCGCAAUCGAUAGGAAAAGAAGCACGAUGAUAACACCCUCAAUGGCUAUGGUAUAUCCAACCCCCAAUUAAAAAACUGCAUACAAUCGUCAAUGUGUUAAGAUAAUACAAAACAAAGGGAAGUGAAAACAUACAUGGGACACACUAAGCAUUUGUGUCAUGAGCAUCCCAAGAUGAGGGAAUCUCACUUGGCGGAGGCGAUGGUGGUGGCAGUGCACUACUAGAAGAUACACCUAUUGUUAUCCCGUCAUGCCUUUGCCUCUUAACAAAUGCAUAAUCUAUCGAAUCAUGUAUAGCCAUUUUAACGACCUGGUCAUAUGGCAUAUCCAAAUGCUAUAAGUUUCUUAUGUGACUUUUCUUGGCCCCAACUAUCGGGACCUUCUCAUUAUCUUUUGCAAAAGAAAAUAUCUAGGUACGUGUGGAGGUAAUAUCUAGACCACUAGGGGUAUGACUAUGUUAGUGGCUGCUACAUGGAUUUCUAUAAGAGAGUGUACCUCUGCUCACAAUAUAUCCAUUUCCUCUUUCAUCUAGGCUAGAUUUGGUACCUCUAUCUCUAUAAAUUGGGUUGUAACCUAUCUAUCAAACUCAUUAAGACAUGCCUGUAAGUAAGUACAUAGCUCAAGAAGGGUAGAUCUCUAUACGACCUCCUAUCUAGCUUCUGUCCUAUUAAAUUUAGUCUGAACCCCUAAAUAUAUUACAUCAAAUAGGGUAGUCAUCUCAGUCUCAACAACCCAUAAUUGAGCAUUAGUAUCCCUCUGACUGUCCAUUACGCUCUGCAAAAACUCUUGAGAUAUUGUAAUAAUAUCUAUAGCAGAAGCUGUAGUGGAUGGGAAAGUUAAAAAUAUUCCAAUCGACUCUCAGGUCAAAGUCGGGGCUGAUGAAGAAGUGGAUGAUGUCCUCUCAUCCUGAGUACUCAUAUUUGGGGCCUCUGUCUGUUCCCCUAUCUCAUUAUAAACACUAAUAUCCAUAUCACCUCUAUUUGUAUUACCUGGAUCUAUGGAAAUUGAUGGACCCUCAAUCUAGGCUCGAGGUACUAUGGUAGGCUCACUAGAUCUCUUGAGAAGGCCCGAAUGUCCUAGAUCCAUCAUACUCUUCAUCUGUAUGGUAGCUAUCAUAAGUACCCUCUCAUCUACUCCCGAUAUCUCUAGUACCCAGCCUCGUCACAUAACCUCUGAAUCAGGCAAGGGAAUGGCACCAAGUUCCCUUCCCAAAGUGGGAACAAGUUGAUGCGACCGAUUAAAGAAGAAGGACAACUCGCAAUGGUACUAUGGCUAGUUGGAAAGCCUUUCAAGCCAAUCUCUUGAUUCACAUUCAUAUGAAACCAUUGCAACCGAUCCUGCAUACCAAUCAUCCGCCGCUUAAAGUAAUGGCCAAGGUUUCUAUAGAUUCAGUCCUGUGGAAAAAUGGUGUUGUGGGCAAUUCAGUGUGUAGUGUCACCCCUGGGACACUAGCGAGUCCGUCCCUAAAAAUUAGGUCCAUGAAGCCAGAGUGUUGUCGCACUAAACGACUACCUUCCUUAGAUACUCCAAGCCACAAUCUAUAUUGUCCUUGAACCUAGACCAUGGAAGGUUGGUUAUAGUCCCAUUCUAUUAGUGGGAUCCAUAGCCCGCGGGUCUUUCCCAAGCCAGCAAAGAAGAAGGUAGUCUAGGACUACCCUAAGCCUAGAAGAGAAGUAGGCAGGACUUUCAGUUACAAUGUCUAGGUUGGGCAAGCCGCCUUUCGCCUUUCUAAAGCCAAUCGAUUAUCGGAUUUCACCAAGCUAACUACCACUACCUGGGAAUUUAUAGAUCCGCUCUAAGAUAGCAUUAAGAUUCCAAACUCCAUGAAAGCAGGAGAUUUAUUAGCUAUAGUCAAAUCUCGUGACGGUGAUCAAAGAGCAUUAGCUACGAUACUACAACCUCUGCUCCUGACCCCCAGAUCGAAACGUUACGAUUCACUCCGGUGCUGCUUGCUGGUGGAGGUUGGGAGUAUCUCAACUAUGAAUAAGAAGUCGAAGAAGCCCUAGAUCCGCCUCUUACUUACCUACCUUCCCAGACUAGCUAGUCAGGGCGAAGCAUUCGUCAGCAUUAGUAGUUUUGGCACGAUAGACUCAUGAGAUGUGACCUCAUGAUGGGUCGGUGGGAAUGGCUCGUGAUCGUGCAUUCAAUCAAUUUCCCUUGGAAACAUUGGAAAUGAUGGUCAAGGUUUGCCGUAAAUAAAUAGAUGAGUUCGAUUCAAGUAUCCAAACAAGAAUACGGUUCAGAUACCCCAAACAAGAAGCCACUUAGGAUUUUUGCUUUUUCUAUCCCGGAGGGAGGGUCUCAUGACAACGCCUUUCUCUGCGGUCUCUAUUCGUAGGAAUAGAAUCAUCCAAGUAAUUGUGUCUAUCACUGAAGGCAGUCAAGAGUCACUCAGGGCUAUUGUACUUGUACUACUCAGCUGUUAUAGUCCAUUAGAGUGUUUGAAAUCCCUGAAUCCUGACUCUGUACGGAGCAGUAGGCUUGAGUUAUAGUCCGUAUCCCGUACUACUUGUCUGGAGUAGGAAAGAGUGUGAUCUCAGUUUCCUAUCAAGUCAAAGGGAGACCACGAGGGUCUUCCUUAUGGUUCGCUAUAGUCUAUUAAUAAUUAAUAUGUCUAAUAAUCCUUCUUGUCCGGUAAGCAAAAGCAAGCAAGGGAGCCUCUGGCUUCGUCCCUUCAUCUCGCCACAACACAAGCUGUGGUAUAAUCUGUCUAUACCUCACUCGGUUCAGUAAGAUAAAGAUAUGGUUUGAUGUGUGAGGCCUCUCUUCACUAACUAAAGUCGCUUCCUCGUGAACUCCGUUAACUAGGCACCCCUCUCCAAGUAGUCAGUCUAUUCUCUCGUGGAGAAAGCCUUACUCUCGUUUCGUUCGAACGUAGCCCGCAGGAGUCAAGGGGUUGUAGGGGCGACUUCCAGAGAUAAUUACGGCGAGGGAAGAUGAAUAGCAUUCUUCCUUCGCAAAUACCGACUUCACCAACCCCUAACCCGGCUAAAUAGUUUGAUGCCUGCAUUUAAACUAACUCACCAUAUGUUAGUAUGCUAGUGUGCGGCUGAGAAAGUAUAUAAAGUAUAUAGAGGGAAAAGGUUUUCAAAAAGCCAUUCUCGGUGACGACAUUGUUAUCGUCGACGAAAAGGUUACAAACGUGUAUACGGCCCCCUGAUAGGACUGUGACCUAACUAUGACCUAACUAUAUCGGUCAAAAAGUAGCUAGUCUCUGACAAAGGUGCUCUUGAGUUCGCUAAGCCAUUUAUAUGCGAUGAAGGUGGAACGGAUUUAUCUCUAAUCUCCUUUCGCCCGUUCACUCAAUACUCAGUAGCAGCUCCCGUAUUCGCGAUUCGCGAGGGUUGAAAAUGGAUUUCAAACAAUAUGAACAACAAUAACUCGACAUUCUCAAGUUCACCAAUUGAACAAGUCCGGCAUAUCGUCGCAAAGUAGUACACUCAAGUGGACUCCACCUAAUGGACGGAUACAGAGAUAGUAUCCAGAAAGAUCUUGGGAUUACAUUCGUCAAACCAAAUAUCUUUAGCAGUCGCAAAAGAGGUGACGGGGCUCAAAGGAAGUAAACAAGUCAUCCUUUGAAGCUAAGCACUUUUCAUCUUUUGUAGGAAAAUCCCCUUCUCUAGUCUUGGGAAAUUGAGCGACCCAUCCACAUAAGCACAAGAAUUUUUUUCCCGAGCAAAUCAUUCUUCAUCGCAUAAGCCCAUGACAAGUCAUUUCCAGAUGCUUCUUUCAGAAGAGCACGGGAAAAACCUAUGGAAUCCAUUGUACUAAGAACUAAGACCCAAAAGAUCAUCUAAGGACUGAAAAUCGGGACUCAAAACUAGUUAAGAAGGCUUAAGCUUAACUCAAGCAAUCACUCAAGAGAAGCCGGAUUCAUAAAAGAAAGAAGAAGAAGUUCCAGCCAAUUUUGAUUUUGAAUGAUAAGGAAGCGCUUGAUCUGGGUCUUAGAAGGGCAUCGAGAUCAAGGAGAUCGUGAGAUCAAAGUGGACGUUCCCGAUUUCCAUGGCCGAUUGCAUCUUUGCAUCCUGAGGACUUUCUUGAUUGGCUAAGUAGCGUAGAGAAGUUCUUUGAUUGGAAAGAACUACCCGAGGUGUGCGAAGAUGAAAUUCCUGAGCAAAAAUAAGGAACGCUUUCUCGACGCUGUAGAUCAUGCAUGACUGGCUUGUCCAAAGGAGACGGGAAGUUCUUUUCCCCUUUUGUUAGGCUUUGCUGGGAUGAUGUCUCGUUCUUCGUCACGCUGCCCAUGACUGGAUAGGGGUAGCGCCAUAGACCGUCUCUUUGGCUUAGAGUCGUUUCAUGAGCGAGGGGGCUAAGCGCAUACACGCUUCCUUCGGAACCUGACUCUAUCUUCGACUACCAAAAAGAAAGCGAAGGAGAGCCACUUUUUUUUAUAGUAUAGAGUAGGACUGAAAUUCCAAGCGCUCCUAGCUCAGAAACCACACACAGACAAACACAUGGAGGCCCAUAAAACCCAUAAAUAAUAGACUAACAAAUAUACGUGACAUACACUUCCUGUGUGAAGUUUUCAUCUUAAUGAAUCAAAGCUGUUUGUAAAAUGCUACUUUUCUUUCUGCAACAAGUAAGAGUACUUUUUCUUAUCAUAUACCCUUAUGAAUGAAUGAAUCAAAAAAAUGUGACUCCACAAAUAGUCCCCCUCCUCUCUAUCUUCAAAGACAGAGGUACACAUCACAGGAGAAAACCCCAAAAAUAGAAAGAGAAAGAAGUAAGUAAAAAAAUAGGAAAUACUGCUAGAUGGCAACCUAACCGUGUACGUCAUAAUUGAAAAAGGUAAGCCCCACUCCACUGAAUUGGAGAAUUCCAGAACACAUAUCAGAGAGUGCUCCAAUGGCAGUGGGGGCACAAUUGAGAGAAUUUUGACGAUUAGAAAAGAAAAAGAAGAAAGUUAGUGUUCAAUGAGCUCGAGAUAGAUGCCUGAUGAGAGGAAGGGACGCCGGGUACAGUCUUUCUUUGGUUCCAGCUCCCCGGUUACACCAAAGCACACCAGUCAACACUGUACUAUAGCGCUUACACCUGUGAGUUGGCAAAAUAAUAUCGUAUGUUAAUAAAAGACCUGAGUUGGCGAAAUCAAAAGAAAAGCUAACGCUAACUAAGUGUUUAGUUACCAUGCCCAAAAGCCCCAUGCCUUUCUUGGUUGGAUAAACAAAACCAACCGGCGAUUUCCGACAAGUCUCUCUUUUUUUCGGUAUACCGCUCUGCGAGCAGAGCGAAUGAACAGAAAUCUUUCCGAAUAUCAUGAAUAUCCUUCGCCCCUUGUCUCCAUCUUUCAUUCGUUCUAUGAUUCUCCUUUCUACCCUUCUUUUUACUACCUGUCUCUUGUCUCAUUUGAUUGGCUUUGAUCCCUACCUUAUUAUGGAGAGGGUCAAAGGUUCUUUUUUCCUCCAAGCCUUACGUGCUCUUUUUAGGCUCUUUGGUUUUGAAGUGCCUAUCUGCCUUCUUCUUUC
rnacentral:lncRNA from 1 species